AGACCCGAAACCCGGUGAUCUAGCCAUGGGCAGGUUGAAGGUUGGGUAACACUAACUGGAGGACCGAACCGACUAAUGUUGAAAAAUUAGCGGAUGACCUGUGGCUGGGGGUGAAAGGCCAAUCAAACCGGGAGAUAGCUGGUUCUCCCCGAAAGCUAUUUAGGUAGCGCCUCGUGAAUUCAUCUCCGGGGGUAGAGCACUGUUUCGGCUAGGGGGCCAUCCCGGCUUACCAACCCGAUGCAAACUGCGAAUACCGGAGAAUGUUAUCACGGGAGACACACGGCGGGUGCUAACGUCCGUCGUGAAGAGGGAAACAACCCAGACCGCCAGCUAAGGUCCCAAAGUCAUGGUUAAGUGGGAAACGAUGUGGGAAGGCCCAGACAGCCAGGAUGUUGGCUUAGAAGCAGCCAUCAUUUAAAGAAAGCGUAAUAGCUCACUGGUCGAGUCGGCCUGCGCGGAAGAUGUAACGGGGCUAAACCAUGCACCGAAGCUGCGGCAGCGACGCUGAUGCGUUGUUGGGUAGGGGAGCGUUCUGUAAGCCUGUGAAGGUGGCCUGUGAGGG
rnacentral:rRNA from 3 species